UUGAAGAUAUAAAUAACAACAUAAAAUUUAAAUAAACUUUACUUUCAACAUAAACAAUUAAUUUUUAAUCAUUUCGAAUUAACAUUUACAAUUAAUCGAUCCAUAAAUUAUUCACUUGAUGAAAUUUUCACAAUCAUCAUGAAUAUAAACAAAUCACAUCAUCUGAAGUGUGGUAUGAUUAAUUGGCAAAAGAUGUAUAAAAUCCAACGUGAUUUGCAGUGCAUCAUCAUACGGACACCAUCCACAAGGAGCUGUACCACAAAAGUCUAAUGAUGUUUCAUUGAACUUCAUACUUUUUUUCAAUCUUUCAAUAAUAAUGUCUUUGGAACGUGAUUCUGGUUGACUUAUAGAAUUAGGAUUCUCUUUCAUUGGAUUUGGAGUUGUUUCGUCCUAGAAUUUAAACAUACUUUUAUUAAUCAGGAGCAAAUUCAACAGGUCCAACUAUUACUUGUUGAAUUGAAUUAUUUGUUGGAUGGUUCAAAUACAAAUAAAUGAAUUCAGUG